rnacentral:rRNA from 1 species
GACGAACGCUGGCGGCGUGCUUAACACAUGCAAGUCGAACGGAAAGGCCCUGCUUUUGUGGGGUGCUCGAGUGGCGAACGGGUGAGUAACACGUGAGUAACCUGCCCUUGUCUUUGGGAUAACUUCAGGAAACUUGGGCUAAUACCGGAUAGGAUCUCCUGCUGCAUGGUGGGGGUUGGAAAGUUUCGGCGGUUGGGGAUGGACUCGCGGCUUAUCAGCUUGUUGGUGGGGUAGUUGCUUACCAAGGCUUUGACGGGUAGCCGGCCUGAGAGGGUGACCGGCGACAAUGGGACUGAGAUACGGCCCAGACGCGUACGGGAGGCAGCAGUGGGGAAUAUUGCACAAUGGGCGGAAGCGUGAUGCAGCAACGCCGCGUGCGGGAUGACGGCCUUCGGGUUGUAAACCGCAUUCGCCUGUGACGAAGCGUGAGUGACGGUAAUGGGUAAAGAAGCACCGGCUAACUACGUG